GAUGAACGCUGGCGGCGUGCCUAAUACAUGCAAGUCGAGCGAACAGACGAGGAGCUUGCUCCUCUGACGUUAGCGGCGGACGGGUGAGUAACACGUGGAUAACCUACCUAUAAGACUGGGAUAACUUCGGGAAACCGGAGCUAAUACCGGAUAAUAUAUUGAACCGCAUGGUUCAAUAGUGAAAGACGGUUUUGCUGUCACUUAUAGAUGGAUCCGCGCCGCAUUAGCUAGUUGGUAAGGUAACGGCUUACCAAGGCAACGAUGCGUAGCCGACCUGAGAGGGUGAUCGGCCACACUGGAACUGAGACACGGUCCAGACUCCUACGGGAGGCAGCAGUAGGGAAUCUUCCGCAAUGGGCGAAAGCCUGACGGAGCAACGCAGCGUGAGUGAUGAAGGUCUUCGGAUCGUAAAACUCUGUUAUUAGGGAAGAACAAAUGUGUAAGUAACUAUGCAAGUCUUGACGGUACCUAAUCAGAAAGCCACGGCUAACUACGUG
rnacentral:rRNA from 1 species